AGUUCUGAAUCAUAACUUUUAUUCAGUCUCUAACACGUUUGGUUUUUGUUUUUUUUUUUUUUUUUUUUUUUCCCAAGGAAAGGCUAGAUUUAAAAGCUAAUUAAUUGCCUCACAAAUGCGUAAGUCAAUAAAAUUGAGUUAUGGUUAUUAAAACCAUAAGAAUGACACCAGUUUUAGAGAUCUGGACUAUUCCUGAACACGUAUUCAUCACAUGCAAGUGUCAUCAGGACACAGAUUGUCUGCACUUCAUACUCUGACAAGGCAAUAUGCUGAGACAGGGAUGGGCUCCAAAAGAAAAAAAGAUACAAGGUCACGGUUUUGUUUUAUUGUUUGUUUCUUUGUUUGUUUUUAGAGUGCAAUGUUGACCAGUGCCAGUCUGCAGAGCUUUUGCUGCAAGACCUCUCUCUUUCUUUUCUUGCACUCUUUCACGGGUGUAAUUUUCAUUUUGAUAAUUUUAGAAGAGUAAUUAAGUUACUUACCUGUGUAAAUGUGCUGGUAAUACCAGGAAGGUCAACGCUUGAACCACAAGUGAAUAACCUGGCUGUAAGUAGAAUUUCUGAAGGAAGAACAGCAACGACAGGAAGCAAAUAGCAAGCUAACAAAAAUUUAUGUGUGUCAAACACAUCAAAGUUUUAUUGCCAAAUGUUGUUUGGCAGUAUGUUCCAAAUGGCUAUUUUUGGUAAACAUAAAAUUUCAGGAAAUGGAGUUGUGUGUGGAAAAACACCCUCCUGUCUACGUGUCCUGCUAUGUAAAUAGCAUCAGUCAGUAGCACGUCCAGUGGCAGGAUUGUUCCCUACUCUUAAUACUGCUGUAGUAGUGUUGCAAUAUGUAGACCUAACAAACGGCUUUAGGAAUGGAAGGAGAUUGCCUGUUUUCUGUAAGGGCUAUGAAUGCUGACUGCUUUCUCUGCUGCUUUCCUGUGCAUGAGAUGAAACUGUUUUAUUUUUCUCCUUUGUUCCUGGUCUAAAUAUUUCCGAAGCUCUUGCUGCUGUGGUUUUGCAAUUUGUGUUACAGCAUUUUUGUAGAGUUCUAGUUAUGGAUCAUUUCUGCUGUGGCAAAGUGUCAAGAGACUGUUUUCAGUUUAAAGCUUCAGAAGCUAUAUUGGUUGAAAUCAGUAACUCACAGUCUAGGUGAAACUAAUCUUGCAGGGAUGCUCACUGGGUCCUCAUCAAAACAGCGAGAUGUGUGUGGACAUCCAUCGGGUUGUGCUCUGGGUCUGAGAGCAUUAUGUAUUUUUGCUGUUGAAAGAUGGAAUAGAACGUGUGCCUGUUAAAUCUAAGGACAGUCAAAAGCUGGAAGGGACCCUAAGCAGCUGGAUGUCCACUGCCACCAUUUUGCUGUGGUUGCCCUUUCUUCUGCCAUGAAAGUACGAGACAGAUGGAAGGAAUCCAUACUGGUCUGCAAGUACAACGUACGUCUAUGAUGCAUGUCUGCAUUUUUCCUAAGAGGCUGCACUGAGGACACGCUUGUCCGUUCCUCCCUUGGGGAUGCCGUUGACUGCAGCUGCCUCAGCCUUGUGUGGGUUGUCUCUGCUGGGCCUUGCGCUUCUCACAGCAUGUCGGUCAAAAGGAACAGGCGGAGCACAUAUCGGCUGUGGACAGUGGGCAGGAGCUGCUGUGGCUGAGGCUGGAGAGGCCAGAGAAAGGCAAAAAAGAAAAAAUUGAAGUUUCUCUGGCCAGCAGCAGCUUCCUACUGCAGGUGGAGGACAGCCACCACAGGAAGGAUGAAGGGAAGAGAAAGAAACCUCUGACCUGUCAAAUUCUCCCAGCAGCACUGAGAGCGAGAGCUGCGCUGAGCCCUGGGCACCCUGUCACCUCUCUUGUGCAUCCCAGUCCCUUCCUGCCUCUCUUCUGGAUCUCUCUGUUUCCCGUGCUGUGAUUUAUUUAUUUAUUUUUUUUCCCCUCUUUUGCUUCCCUAUACUGUUCCUUUUUUCUCUAUUUUCUCUCCUGCUCCCUCUUCUUCUCUCAUGGUAAUGUUGCUGAUGCAAUAGAUGUAAUAAAAGAGUAGGUAUCACCGUUUCUAGUAAGGAUCACUUUCUCUGUCAGCACUUUGCACGCUGUGAGUUUAAGGCAGCUAGGAAUCUCAUCGUUGCUCUUCUGGCCGGUGGGACACCUUCUUGUGGUUGGCCCCGCCCCUUUCCCGGGGGAUUGUGGGAAGGGCAGUGGGCGGGGCCCAGACUAGAUGAACCCCAGCCUCUCAUUAGGGAGCUUGCUUCUGCUCCUGCGUUUCUCUGGUGCUGGGGCUCUCCUGUUCCUUCAGUCGAUGGUAGUUUUUGAGCAGAUGUGUGUGAGGUGCCACAAGUGAAGAUGGCCACAGUGUCCGAUACCAGAAUUGGUGUGGAGCAGGUGCUGCAUUCCUUUCCAGAGGGGUGAAGCUGCACAGCUAUGAGCAGUUUGAGAAAAGGCAGGAGUUAAGUGGUCCGCUUGGGCUGAAUUGCAGACAGUCCAUGCAACAGUGAUGUAUUACUUUGAAAGCUGGAGCAGAGCAGGUAACAGAGCGGCAUGAGGUGAUUAAAGGAGCCUUGCAUUUAGGUGACAAGGCCACUGUUGAGGAUGGCUACUGAGCAUGGACUGUGACCUGUGACACCAUGAAAGCUAAGUAGCGGGACAGAUCUGUGGGGAGUGGAGUCCAUGUGUGUCCAAGUGGCAUAAUGGGAGGGUUAGUCUGUGGGGAGUCAGCCUCGUGCUAGUGGAGGGAGUGAUACGUCUCGUGACACGCGUGUCCUGGCAAAGCAGCUCUGGGGUGAGUGGGUAGAGUUGUGCAGUAUGUCUAGUGUGUGUUCAUACAUGUUCUUUAGUUACCUGAUGUGUUGAUGUUUGUCUUGGCCUUUGUGUCUGAGAAGCCUCGGGCAUACUCAUCCUACUGGAAUGACGGUAGCCAUCCGUUGCAUCUCUGCAGCCUCACGUGAUCGGCACAGUGCCAAUUCCGACUUGUUUAGCAGCGUGACAUAGAAGCUCAACGCUGCCGGUCUGGUUUAGCGUUGUGGAUGAAUUUGGCCAGUCUUCCUUGCAGCUCUGGCUUGGGCCUAACCAGCAGUUCUCAUCUCGAUGACUCUUUUUUUCUUGAGACUACUUCCAGAGUACUUCCUGUGUCAUCCUAGUCUUCAGUCUUUCCCAGCCAUAUGUCUCCAUCGGUCACGGUGUCAGAGGGCCAUUCGGAUUCUGGGAGCAAAUCCUUCUGUGAGGCUUGCUGGAGCAUGCACUUCAAAGCACAGGAGCAGAAGUGGUGAAAAGAUGGAAACGUAUUCCUCUGGUUCCAGUUAUGAAGGGUGAUGCUGUGAAAUCAUGUGGAGUGGUGAUGUUGUGUUGAGGUACACGGUGAUGCAGUUCCAGGGAUGGUUAUAGAAGGGGGGUGAUCUGCCACUCUGGCAGGUGACAAAAUGAAUAUGUUUUGUGUGAGGGGUGGAAUGAGUGGAUGUCGAAUGAGUGUUAGUUUUGGAAUGUGUCUAACAUUGUAGGUGUGGAUUUCUUUUAUUUCAAGUUGUACUGAAUGUAGAGGUAGUUCCUGUUUUCUUAACAAUAAUAAAAAAAAACCCUCAAGCUGGGUGGUGUGUUUUGAUUGUG